rnacentral:tRNA from 1 species
UGCGGGGUGGAGCAGUGGUAGCUCGUCGGGCUCAUAACCCGAAGGUCGUUGGUUCAAGUCCAACCCCCGCUA